UACGUAGGGGGCUAGCGUUGUCCGGAAUCAUUGGGCGUAAAGAGCGUGUAGGCGGCUCGGUAAGUCCGCUGUGAAAGUCCAGGGCUCAACCCUGGAAUGCCAGUGGAAACUGUCGAGCUAGAGUCCGGAAGAGGCGAGUGGAAUUCCUGGUGUAGCGGUGAAAUGCGCAGAUAUCAGGAGGAACACCAAUGGCGAAGGCAGCUCGCUGGGACGUGACUGACGCUGAGACGCGAAAGCGUGGGGAGCAAACAGG
rnacentral:rRNA from 1 species